rnacentral:lncRNA from 1 species
UGGGUGUUUGGCGUCCGAUCGCUUCCGCUUAUUUCCGAUUAUAAGCACUAUUUGGUUUUUGCGGUCUGUUUGGUAAAAAUAAGCCCAAGCGCUUAUUUGAGAGUUUUUGAUACAGAAUUUAGAAGCCAGGUAGCCUGGCUUUUUUCUUCCGGCUUUUUUCUUUCGUUGCUUCUUUCUUCUGUCCUUUGUGAAAGCCUUGGUUUUUGCAGUUCCUCGCUACUUUAUUGUUGGACACAAAAUGAACUUUAUCCGAACAAAUUUGAUAUAAUAUGAUCAAAAAGAUUAUUUACUAUAUUAAAAAUUUUUUAAUAACUCAUUUUAAUAAUUUGUUUAUAAAAUAUUUUAUGUAUAUUUAAUUGAAGAUAAUUUAAAUUUAAUACUCUCUCCGUCUCAAAAUUUACGUCCUUUGAUUUUUACACGUAAUUUAACGCGUA